rnacentral:rRNA from 1 species
GCUUAACACAUGCAAGUCGAGCGAAGCACUUUUUUAGAACUCUUCGGAGGGAAGAGAGGGUGACUUAGCGGCGGACGGGUGAGUAACGCGUGGGCAACCUGCCUUACACAGGGGGAUAACAAUUAGAAAUGAUUGCUAAUACCGCAUAAGACCCCAGUACCGCAUGGUACAGGGGUAAAAACUGAGGUGGUGUAAGAUGGGCCCGCGUCUGAUUAGGUAGUUGGUGGGGUAGAAGCCUACCAAGCCGACGAUCAGUAGCCGACCUGAGAGGGCGACCGGCCACAUUGGGACUGAGACACGGCCCAAACUCCUACGGGAGGCAGCAGUGGGGAAUAUUGCACAAUGGGGGAAACCCUGAUGCAGCGAUGCCGCGUGAGUGAGGAAGUAUUUCGGUAUGUAAAGCUCUAUCAGCAGGGAAGAAAAUGACGGUACCUGACUAAGAAGCCCCGGCUAACUACGUGCC